rnacentral:piRNA from 1 species
UAUAAUCUUUAUUUUUAUCGC